CAGCUGCCCAGGAGCUGCCCUCAUUUUAGGCUGGGUUGUAGACUGAUGUGAUUUCACAGUGUGCAAGCAGCUCCCUGGAAAACAGUCAGGUAGUCGCAAGUGCAAUGCUGGUCCACGACCUGGAGCUGUUGGAGGUGACAUCUUUCAUCAACACUCUGGUCACAGUCAGAGAAGGCAACUGAACACAUGCUCAUGGGAAUGACUUACAGCUUACAAGAAUGGAGGCUACAGGCUAUAGCUACAGUUACAGAAUACAUCAUUUCAAUUUCUGUGUGAAAUUCACGAAGUCCAACCAUUAAUAAAUAGUUUGCUUUUCUAUUUUCUGCCGCAUACCUUCAGUGAGGUCACCCAUAUGGAGAUCAACAACAACUUUUCUUGUACUGCUUUUCAUGUGGGAGAUGAAGACUAAAGCCCUGCAGAUCUACUUCAUCAGACUCCCAUCAGCCGUAACUGAAGAUGCCUGUACUUGGAGUCAGUUAAGAACUAAGACACACAUUAGCCUAAACUGGUUUCAGUGCUGAGCUUACCCUGUCUGUGUAUAUAAUUUUAUAUCACUCUGUUUGACAUUCAUAAUGGAGGGCAUGGUCAAGACAUUUCUCAGUGAUAACUUUCUGUUCUUCUUUUGUCCCAUAUAAACUUGCCUUCAACAUACAACAACUACAUGAAGUUCAGGCAUAGCCUAGCUUUCUAUCAAGAUUGCAGCUAAAUUGUCCUAUGUGAGAUUUUGAAUUGUUUAGUCCCAUGUGAAGGUUCAGAUGUGGAUGUAUGCUAGUGUGUAGGAUGGCAUUGAUUUGUGGCUACUGAUUCUCCUGUACAUAAUAAAAAACUGAGAAAGCAUUGACAUAGGAAAGAGUUUAUGUCUGUAAACAGGUUUCUAUGAUGUUCCUUGUGAUUUCUCAUGGAGAAAGAAAUGAGACCAUUAACAUUAUAAAUUUUGACUUCAUCCAGAAUGCAGGCUAGAGAUCCAGACUACCUCCGUAUCUGCUCCAUAAAAAAAGUAUGUAUAGAUAUGGAAGUAAAACAACAUAAAAUAAUUGUUUGGAUUUUUUUUGGUUUUGCUUUUUUGGAGGGGGAAGGAGAUGGUUAAUCUAGGCUAGAGGAUGAUGUCCAGAAAGAGCUAGGGAAUGAGCACAAGUAGUAGGUCUCAGAGCAGUAGCUGUUAACUUGCUUUCUGGUUUUCCUCCAGCUACCUCUCCUAGACUGUCUAAACAUGUUUGAGGUGACAAUAUACUAUAGAGUCUGUUUCCAAAGUUCAGUACCAGCAAAGCUGCAGUAAAUCUCUUUUCAUGUACAGUUCUCCGCCUCUAUCCUAAAAGCCUGUCACCAUCAAAUACUCUUGUAGGCCAUGCAAAAUUAUAACCAUGGUACUUCCAUCUCAGAUACUUUGA